rnacentral:tRNA from 1 species
GUCGUCGUAGCUCAGUGGUAGAGCGUUUGCUUUACACGCAAAAGGUCUACAGUUCGAUCCUGUGCGGUGACA